rnacentral:misc_RNA from 1 species
UCCGGGUUUCGCCCGGCAGUCUCCCUAGAACAUUCAACUAAGGACAGGGGUUGCGCUCGUUGCGGGACUUAACCCAACACCUCACGGCACGAGCUGACGACGGCCAUGCACCACCUGCGCAGAAGUCCCUUGCGGGAGGUUCUGGCUUUCGCCAAAAUUUCCUCUGCAUGUCAAACCCAGGUAAGGUGGGGAUGACGUUGACGUCAUAACC